AACGCGAAGAACCUUACCUACACUUGACAUCCUGCGAAAGCUAAAGAGAUUUGGCAGUGCCGAAAGGAGCGCAGAGACAGGUGCUGCAUGGCUGUCGUCAGCUCGUGUUGUGAGAUGUUGGGUUAAGUCCCGUAACGAGCGCAACCCUUGUCCUUAGUUGCCAUCAUUUAGUUGGGGACUCUAAGGAGACUGCCGGUGAUGAACCGGAGGAAGGCGGGGACGACGUCAAGUCAUCAUGGCCUUUAUGUGUAGGGCUACACACGUGCUACAAUGGGGCGUACAGAGGGAAGCCAACCCGCGAGGGGGAGCGAAUCUCAGAAAGCGCCUCGUAGUCCGGAUUGGAGUCUGCAACUCGACUCCAUGAAGUUGGAAUCGCUAGUAAUCGCGAAUCAGCAUUGUCGCGGUGAAUACGUUCCCGGGCCUUGUA
rnacentral:rRNA from 1 species